rnacentral:lncRNA from 1 species
CUCAAUUCUGUGCAGAUCUAAAGAAUAACUUAUUCCAAUUAAUCUUAGAUAAUUAACUCUCCCAUCCUAAUUAACUCUCUCAAUUAACUCUCCCAACUGUCUUCUCUAGUUAAUUGUCAAUUAACCCUUGUACAGCACCCCUCCUCGUCCCCUUCCUCCGGCACCGGCAGCACCCGCCUCGACCACCAUCGCCACUCCAAACCCCGAGGACCCUGCGCCUCUCUGAGAUCAUCCCAAAUAAAUUAAUAUUCAAAUAAACAAAUAAAUAAAUAAAUAUAUCACUACAUGAAGAACAAGAAGGCGAAAAUGGAGCCCCCAUGAACAUAAUGUAAGCUAUAUUUUGGUCGAUUAUUUUGAAAUUUUUGCUCUGUAACUCCUUUUCAGCUGCAUGAAUGAAAAGUGAAUUUCGUUUUUUUCUCUCUAAUCCGCAUUAUCUUAAUUUCAUUUAUGAUUCUAGUGAGGUGACCUGCUACAUUUUUACCAAGAACUAAACAGAAAAAAUGGUGAAUCAAAAUAAAACGAAAAAUCGCAUCGUUAUUAUUAGUACUAUUAAUUGUACCCGGACGAAGAUGGGGAUGAUGGAGGCGGCGGCGAGGAGUUCCCCGUGGUUCCUCCUCCGUCCAUCUCCUCUCUCUUUCUCUCUCUACACUCUCUUUCUUUCUCUCUCUUCUUUUUGGUGAGUGGUGGUCGUGUUUGUCUCCGUUUUGUCUUGAGGAGGAGGACGACGAGAGUGACGGAGGAGGAGGAUGACGAGAGCAAUGAGAGGGGUUGUGUUGGAGGUGGAGGUGUGGGAGGUGGUGGUGGUCUGGGAGGAGAUGAGGCAAGGUGGAGGCGGAGGAGCCAGUGUUCAAGUUGAAAGAGAAAGAGGAUAAUUUAAGAAAUUAGCAUAAUAAAGUAGGGGUAAAAUAGGUAUUUUAUAUAAAUUUUAACUCUAGUAUGUAUUUAAUCCAUGUUUAAUCCGAGUUAAGUUAACAGGAAAUAACUGCGGGAAUAUUUUGGAAUAACGGUGGAAUAUAUGAAGGGCAUUUUAAAAAAAAAAAAAAAGUAGGAAUAGAUCGAAUAUUUUCAGACGCAUGAGGGAUAUAUAGGCAAUUAUUCCUAAAAAAUUUGAAAGGUCUAGUUUUGGAAUAAAGUUUUAAUUUGAAGAG